GACAAGGUUCCAGGCCCUACGGGGUGCAGCAGGCGCGAAACCUCCGCAAUGUGAGAAAUCGCGACGGGGGGAUCCCAAGUGCCAUUCUUAACGGGAUGGCUUUUCAUUAGUGUAAAGAGCUUUUGGAAUAAGGGCUGGGCAAGACCGGUGCCAGCCGCCGCGGUAACACCGGCAGCUCUAGUGGUAGCAGUUUUUAUUGGGCCUAAAGCGUCCGUAGCCGGUUUAAUAAGUCUCUGGUGAAAUCCUGUAGCUUAACUGUGGGAAUUGCUGGAGAUACUAUUAGACUUGAGACCGGGAGAGGUUAGAGGUACUCCCAGGGUAGAGGUGAAAUUCUGUAAUCCUGGGAGGACCGCCUGUUGCGAAGGCGUCUAACUGGAACGGUUCUGACGGUGAGGGACGAAAGUUAGGGGCGCGAACCGGAUUAGAUACCCGGGUAGUCCUAACCGUAAACGAUGCGGACUUGGUGUUGGGGUGGCUUUGAGCUGCUCCAGCGCCGAAGGGAAGCUGUUAAGUCCGCCGCCUGGGAAGUACGGUCGCAAGACUGAAACUUAA
rnacentral:rRNA from 1 species